rnacentral:rRNA from 1 species
UUCAGCGGCGGACGGGUGAGUAAUGCCUAGGAAUCUGCCCGAUAGUGGGGGACAACGUUUCGAAAGGAACGCUAAUACCGCAUACGUCCUACGGGAGAAAGCAGGGGACCUUCGGGCCUUGCGCUAUCGGAUGAGCCUAGGUCGGAUUAGCUAGUUGGUGGGGUAAAGGCUCACCAAGGCGACGAUCCGUAACUGGUCUGAGAGGAUGAUCAGUCACACUGGAACUGAGACACGGUCCAGACUCCUACGGGAGGCAGCAGUGGGGAAUAUUGGACAAUGGGCGAAAGCCUGAUCCAGCCAUGCCGCGUGUGUGAAGAAGGUCUUCGGAUUGUAAAGCACUUUAAGCUGGGAGGAAGGGCAGUAAGCUAAUACCUUGCUGUUUUGACGUUACCAGCAGAAUAAGCACCGGCUAACUUCGUGCCAGCAGCCGCGGUAAUACGAAGGGUGCAAGCGUUAAUCGGAAUUACUGGGCGUAAAGCGCGCGUAGGUGGUUCAGUAAGUUGGAAGUGAAAUCCCCGGGCUCAACCUGGGAACUGCAUCCAAAACUACUGGGCUAGAGUAUGGUAGAGGGUGGUGGAAUUUCCUGUGUAGCGGUGAAAUGCGUAGAUAUAGGAAGGAACACCAGUGGCGAAGGCGACCACCUGGACUAAUACUGACACUGAGGUGCGAAAGCGUGGGGAGCAAACAGGAUUAGAUACCCUGGUAGUCCACGCCGUAAACGAUGUCAACUAGUUGUUGGGUUCCUUGAGGACUUAGUAACGAAGCUAACGCGAUAAGUUGACCGCCUGGGGAGUACGGCCGCAAGGUUAAAACUCAAAUGAAUUGACGGGGGCCCGCACAAGCGGUGGAGCAUGUGGUUUAAUUCGA